UGGGGAAUAUUGGACAAUGGGCGGAAGCCUGAUCCAGCAACGCCGCGUGAGGGAUGACGGCCUUCGGGUUGUAAACCUCUUUCGCCUAUGACGAAGCUGUCCAUUUUUGUGGGUGGUGACGGUAGUAGGAAAAGAAGGACCGGCCAACUACGUGCCAGCAGCCGCGGUAAUACGUAGGGUCCGAGCGUUGUCCGGAAUUAUUGGGCGUAAAGGGCUCGUAGGCGGUUUGUCGCGUCGGGAGUGAAAACACCGGGCUUAACUCGGUGCUUGCUUUCGAUACGGGCAGACUGGAGGUAUGCAGGGGAGAACGGAAUUCCUGGUGUAGCGGUGAAAUGCGCAGAUAUCAGGAGGAACACCGGUGGCGAAGGCGGUUCUCUGGGCAUUACCUGACGCUGAGGAGCGAAAGUGUGGGGAGCGAACA
rnacentral:rRNA from 1 species